GCGGUAAUAGCUCAGUUGGUAGAGCGUUGGCUUCCCAAGCCAAAAGUCGCGGGUUCGAGCCCCGUUUACCGCU
rnacentral:tRNA from 3 species